rnacentral:lncRNA from 1 species
AAAUUUUAAGGUCAUAACUAGUAUUCAGAGUUUGCCUUGAUUUGGUACCGCUCUCGCGGUCAUGAAUAAUUAGUUUUAAUGAAACCACACAAUCUUGCUACUUAUUUCAAUGUAUGAAAAUGAUACUACUAAAUACAGGAACCAAAGGCAAAGUCUCUAGAGAAAAUUGAGGGUCACCCUCUGUGGUGGAAGGUCAGAUAUCUCAUUCAUUUUUCUGUUUUUCUUCAUGCGAGCUCUCUGUAUGCGUAUUAGUUAGUUAGAAAAAACACGAAGACGUCUAAAUUUAUUUUUAUAGCAGAAGAACAGAGUUUGUGAGGUGAAAAUUACAUUUUUUUUCCAGUUGUUUCUUUUCCUUUCGUAGUAGUUUUUCCUGCAAUAAUUAAGGGGUCAACAUGAUACUAAUUCAUCCUAAAACUAGUUUACAGGAUGCGCGGAUGGAAAUGAAAACGCGUACCUUGUCAUGAAGAUCCUUAACAUAUUCAAGCAUCAACUGUGUCUGCACAAAACAAAACUAUUUAGAGUUGCUUCAUUCUCAGGUACUAACUCAAAAGGAAUCAGAUUAUAAUACUGAAGUCGCAACAUUAUUUAAAAAAACAAAGAAAUCGUAUAGAGUUGCGAAUGAAAACAACAUUGAUGAGUAAAGCUAGAGGCAUUAAGAAGGAAAGCUGGUACUUUUAGGGCAAGGUACAUAGGAGUAUAGAAAGACCUUUCUAAAUCUGAUUUGCAUUAGAGCAGUUUGAAGUUCGUUUUCCAAAUGGACAAGGUCAGUUACAGCGGGACCAUCAGCAUUAGUUUCCUCGAGUUGCCUGUCAAAUUGCGACGGAGCAUCAGUGGUAUAAGCUUUAUGAAAUGUAAGUGAAGUAUCAGAUCAGUACCUUUCUGUUUCUUGUAGCAGUUCUCCCGUUGUCAUGCUUGAGUAUGUAGUGUGCUGUGUUCACCUCAGAAUGAUUAGAAAACUCUCCGCACCAAAAAUGUUUAAGUAUGUUUAUUCAAGACAACAUUGAAUAGUUGGAGCAUUGCAAAAUACGCAAUGCAUCGAUGAUAAGCUACUAAUCAACCAUAUUAGCUAUAUGAAUGAACAACUAUUCAGAGCAUACUUCCAGGAUUUGCUAAUAUACUAUACAUUUAUUUAAUGACCCGUGGUGUUCGGGCUAACUUUCGCACACCUGGACUAAUUCCAUGGGAUACCUGCCACCUCCCAUCAGCAACAUGUACCAAGUAACUCAGUCCAUCAAGGCUAGGACACAUGGGAAGAAUCACCUUAUAAUGUAGGAACUUACAUGGAUUUCACAGAAAUAGUUCCAGCUAUAUAUUGAUCUCUGACCAGUUCAGGGGUGCUUCAUUUUUUUCUUCUCUUUUGUACUAUAAAAGUUCAGAGCAAGGCAGAGAGUAACAAAUUUAUCGAGACCUUCAACUUGAUAACUUUAUGCAAGAUAGUGCACUUAUUUCAAGUAUAUCCAGAGAGGGAAUCUAAUUUACCAGAGUAAACUAACUAGUUCUCUUUUUCUGCUCGACGUGCGUUUCAAAUCGUUGAAGGAUCCCUGUAAGACUGGAAUAUAUAAUGUCAGAUAUGAUUGUUGGUAAGUUAAUUAUAAGGAAAAUGUUAUGAGCACAUCAAUUUGUGUAGGUUUAAACUAGAGUGCUUCAGAAAAUUCUGAACAUAUUUUAUGGUGUUCAAUCUCUUAUGUAGGGGCCGGGGUUGACAAGACUCACAUAGUUUAGGUUGUAAUUGAUAGUUUAAAUGCGUUUCUAUGCAUUAUCCCUUUAUUAUAAUACAUAAUAUUACUUAUUUUCAAGUUAUUAAUCCCGUUUUUAUGUUAUAGUAAUAUGAAGUUGUCUUUCAAGUUUCAAGUGAUGGACUUGUGUAUAUGCCAUUUUUAUAAUUCGGAAUCCACACAUUGGUUGUUGGUCUCUUGAUAUGGCAGUGGACGAUUCAACUGUUGGUCGCUUGUAUGGACUGAACUAGCUUUUGGGGUUGAGUCAAAUCAAGUGAGAUAUCUUUACAUGGUACUAGAGCCAAGUCUUUCCCUAUUUAGAUCCCUAUAUUAUAUUAUCCGUGCUCCAGUUGGCAGUCUGGGUGUGCGAGUGUUAAGAGUAAGAAUCACAUUGAUUGGGAUUAUUACUAAGAAUCAGCAAGUGGCACAAGAUAAAAAAAGUUGAGACAGGAGGAAAUGCUAAGGACCCAGCUGCUACAACAAACUCCAACAGCGGUCCCAUUCAGAUGGGAGGACCACUUCUAACUCAGAAGUGGUGGCUAAGGAAGAUCUGAUGACAAAAUGAGGAAACUCAAUCUAGAAAGACGACAAAAGAACAUUUAUGAAAAAGCAGGACCCCCAAGUGGGACGGACCAG